CAGAAGCGGCCGGAGCGGGAGCCGCAGCCGGGCCACAGGGCUGUUUGAUUGCCUAAGCCUGGUGGCCAGACAAUAGGACCAGAAAGAAUGGCUGCUUCCUUCCUUCCUGUCGAGUGUUCUGCCUGAGUGAGCAAAUUCAAUAGCACUUCGCUUCGCAGCAACACCAGGCUCUCUCGCACAGGCGAAAAUCAACAAAAGAGCCAUUCUCGGGCAUUUCCAACUGCACCUAAGCCAAGGCACUGAGCUGUGGAGCCAUCCGGCCUGGGGAGGGGAGCCACGCAGACACUGCUCUUGGGUGUGCGGCCAGGCACAGUAAACAUCCAGGUUAUUCUUUAUGGUGAAGGACUGCUUUUUUUUUUUUUUUUUUUUUUUUAAUUUAAUUUUAUUUUGUUUUGUGGGGUUUUUUUGUACUUUCCUGAAGAUUUCGCUGCUGCUUUAAACCCCUCCAAGACAGGCUGGUUAAAGGGUGCAAGGAGGUAUUCAGGCAUAACUAAACUAGGUGAAGGUGACACAAGAGUCGCUGUGUAGAAAACUUGCUGCUUUCUGCAGACUCAAGUGAUCACACAUUUAAAUCACAGAGUGGCUGAAAAUAAAAUAGGUGUCAGUGAAUGAAAAUAUUUGACAAAAGCAGGCAAGCAGAUGACCAAGAUUUAUGCUCAGAUCCCAUUCAGUGCUGUGCCAAAAUGAGAAGGGAUAUCGUGUUGCUAAGAAGACAAGGACCUAGAAUGUGCACACCCAAAGCUGACAGUCAGAAGUCAUGGUUUUUCACAACAAUCAGCACUGAGGAAUUCCUGUGCAUGUGCAGUAAGGCAUCUCCCCUUGCACUUGCAUGGCAUAGGACAGGAUACUGAGGGACGUAUUCUUGUGAACAUCUGCGUUUGUUGAUUCAGUGUGUGUGGGAAGAGGAAGGGGGAAGCACAGAAAGAAUCUCAAAAAAAGAAAAGUUUACAUGGAAUUUUUGGAGUGAUCUGUCUUUCUGUUAAAAAGCUAGUUUUUUGCUUUUGAAACAAGCAGAGUAAGAUUUUGCACUUGCCUGCUGCAUCUGUUUUCUCAAGCAAAGACCUGUUUGUUUUUCCCAUUGUGUGUGAACCAUAUUUGAAACAGACCACUGAGCCAAGUUACAUCAAGUCUGUUUCUUUUCUACUUCUGAACUAUGACAGAUUAUCCUAACCCAUCUGCAGGCAUGAUUAAAAAUAUGAAAAUAAUUUUUACUUUUCUUUUGAACUGCCUUUGAUAUAGUAUUUGCUGUCAGAUAAUCUAUAGAAUUUUAACAUCUGGUAAUGCAAAAUGGUAUGUUAUUGCAGCUGAAGAAAGAACUAUUUAGAAAUUUUUAUAGCAAUUUUUUUUGUGGCAUCCAAGAUUGCAAUUGUGGCUUCAGUUUACAAUGAACUUGUGGUCAUACAAUUAUGACUAAAUUAUUCAUUUUUAUGCAUCAGAACAUAGUCUAUAACACAAAGGAAA